AUUGAACGCUGGCGGCAUGCCUUACACAUGCAAGUCGAACGGCAGCACGGGUGCUUGCACCUGGUGGCGAGUGGCGAACGGGUGAGUAAUACAUCGGAACGUACCUUAUCGUGGGGGAUAACGCAGCGAAAGCUGUGCUAAUACCGCAUACGCCCUGAGGGGGAAAGCGGGGGAUCGCAAGACCUCGCGCGAUUAGAGCGGCCGAUGCCUGAUUAGCUUGUUGGUGGGGUAAAAGCCCACCAAGGCGACGAUCAGUAGCUGGUCUGAGAGGACGCUCAGCCACACUGGGACUGAGACACGGCGCAGACUCCUACGGGAGGUAGCAGUGGGGAAUUUUGGACAAUGGGGGCAACCCUGAUCCAGCAAUGCCGCGUGAGUGAAGAAGGCCUUCGGGUUGUAAAGCUCUUUUGUCAGGGAAGAAACACCGGCUCUAACACAGUCCGGGAAUGACGGUACCUGAAGAAUAAGCACCGGCUAACUACGUGCCAGCAGCCGCAGUAA
rnacentral:rRNA from 1 species